CAGGUGUGAAAAUGAAACCAAGUUCAAAACAGAAGACGUAUUUUGGGCUUACAAUUUCUGCCCCACUCCAUACUCCUGGACUGCACUUCUGGGCCUUAUUUUGUAUCUUGUUUUCUUUGCACCUGGAAUGGGACCAAUGCCUUGGACUGUGAAUUCUGAAAUAUAUCCCCUUUGGGCAAGAAGUACAGGAAAUGCUUGUUCAUCUGGAAUAAACUGGAUCUUCAAUGUUUUGGUUUCAUUGACGUUUUUACACACAGCAGAAUAUCUUACAUACUAUGGGGCCUUCUUCCUCUAUGCUGGAUUUGCUGCUGUGGGACUCCUUUUCAUCUAUGGCUGUCUUCCUGAGACCAAAGGGAAAAAACUAGAGGAAAUUGAAUCACUCUUUGACAACAGGCUAUGUACAUGUGGCACUUCAGAUUCUGAUGAAGGGAGAUAUAUUGAAUAUAUUCGGGUAAAGGGAAGUAACUAUCAUCUUUCUGACAAUGAUGCUUCUGAUGUGGAAUAAUUUUCAGCUGCUGAUAUAUUUAGUUAUUUAACAAACUUGGGGGAGAAGAACAGCAGUUGGUGACCUCACUGCCCUGCUUCUAAUCUGGUUCUUUCCACAGUCUAGAUUUUGAAUGACUUCAUAUUCUAGAAUAUCUGAUUAGGAAGAUGAUACAACCAUAAUGACAGGUUUUUUUUUCACAAGGAGAAAUAUAAAAUAUAUAUAUUUACAGAGAUUUUAAUCUAAUAAUUCUUGAGCAAAUGUGUGUAAUCCCUCCCUAAGAUAGUCUAAAAUGAAUAUUGUACCCAGUGACUUCAGUGGUAUCCUUUUUCCUAAGACCAUAUAUAAUUAUUAGUGGCAAUAGUCAGUGCUAAUCUAGCCAAAUUACAUAUGUAUGCUAUAUUUAUAAAGGAUUCUGGGAGUUGGUCCAAUGGUGUUCUAUGUCUAAACAUGGCCUAUUGGCCCUAAAUUUCCCUAAGGAGUAGUAGCUUAUCUGUGAUCAGCUGUUAGAAAGUAAAUUCCAUUUAGCUUUCAUCAGUAAACUCAAAAGUGCCUCCAACAAGGGCACAGCUGUCCUUAUCUCCUUGGAGUCCACAUUUUGGUUUCCCUUUCCAAUUCCAAUAUUUAGAAUUCUUCAGAGACUGACUCUGCCUAGGGUCUUAUGAACAUUAUUAAAAGCAGGUCUUUUGGGGGUUAUUUUUGUACAUGUUUUUUGCAUCAGUGAUUAGUAUACAUUUGCACAGAUAAGCUAGCAACUUUUGAGAAGUACAUUUUGUCAGAAAGAAGCAAAGACUUUUAUAAAUCCCUAAUUGGUGAGUCACUUAGGUAUACAAUUAUAAAUGCAAAGUAGUGCCAGAUAUUUAACUGUAUAUCAGGGUCAGUUUUGUUCAUGCCAAAAUCAUCACACCUUCCUCAUUGGCUCUGGAGUCUUACUAUUUUGUGCCUUCAUUUGUGUUAUAUAAAUAGCUGCAAGCAGACUAUUUUUCCCUUUUAAUCCAAUAAUUUCUGAAACAAAAAAGGAGGAAGGAAAUCAAUGGCAGAAAUAAUCCUGCUGUCAUUGAUGUUUGUUUAAUUAAAAUAAUGGGACUUUUUUUCUUAACUUUAUUAACUCUUCCUAAGGAAACUGUCACAUUUUUUUACUUAAUUGUACUUGUCUUUUUUUACUCUGAGCAUAAACUAGGUUUUAUUAUGCACACCUUUUAUCAUUUUCCCUGACAAUUUACCAAAAAAAAGGAAGAUGCAUAGAUUUGUCUCUGUGUUUUCUUUUUCUCAUUCUUGGCUUGAAUUUUUUUUCCUUCUUGUCUAAAAAUUGAGAUUUCCUAUUGGAACAGAUUAAUGGUUCUAAUAUAGCACGUCUAUAAGAAAUGCUGACUUACUGUAUUUCUACAAUGUCUUUCCAAAGUGUUGUUUUUUAUGGUAAUUCAUCACUGACUUCUUAAUUUUUGUUCUUUAUACAGCAUGUACAAAAUUACUUGCUAGUUCCAGUAAAAAUAUGAAUGAAUCUUCUGUGACCAUUUAGGAAUGUAUUAGUUUGAUGCAUUUUUAAAUGGCUCUAAAACAUCUAAAAAGACACAUAUUUGGAGAGAAAAGGUGGCUGUCUAAUUUUGUUCCUAUCACAAUUAUCAAGCUGAGAAUAUAGCCAAGGAGUUCAUUCCUUAAGUCAUGUGGGGUACAAUAUGUGCUUAAGGAGUCACGUUAGCACCCUAAAAAAAAAAUCCUUUAACCAAAAAAAAAGGUUUUCUCCCUUUGGUUGUCUCAUAUUGUUUUUAAAAGGUUACAGAGAGGGUUUUUUUCUUUGAAUUAGAUGCUUUGACAAUUGAUUUCUAAGAGGAUAUUAGUAUUGAUUGUUUUCCCCAGAAAAAUAGACAGUAUGUAAUAGAGAAAAUUGUUAUUUCAUUGAUAGUUCUUAUCCCAUAUUUUACACAGAUAAAGUGAAGUGGAAAAUGAGCUACUGUGUGGUACAAUCAAAAUAUAAUGGGGAGAAAAAAUAUUUAGACAAAGUGCUCUCUAAAAAUUUAUUUUUCUGAUUUAUCCAAAUAAUUGCCUCAAUUCUUCUUUUUAUUAUAUACAUAGCCUUAACUAUAUAUUUAUAUACUCAGCUGGGCUGAUGCACAGUUACUUUAUUAAAGGAGCAACUGGACUCUUAUUAUUUCCUAAAGCAGAACAUGGCCUGUUCUCCCUGACAUAAGAAAAUGAUGUUUUCAACUUUAUAUCCACAAAUGCACAUAGUAACAGGGAAAAUUAGCCACAGUUCUCCCCCCCAUUCCUCAGCCCCUUCUUUAAAGGACUAUUUAUUUAUAUAGUGAUAAAGAUAAUAUUCCUUAUCUUUGAAGUAUAAGAGAGAGGCACAAUAUAAAAAUUAUUUAUAACUUUUUAGAAACAAAUAACUUCUUGAAAAGGAACCUUAUACAAUUAGGGUAUUAUUUUUAGAUUUGGUGAACAUUUAUAGUAUAUUAAAAAUUAAAUGUUUAAAUUUUGGAGGUUUUUUUAUAUUAUGCAUCUUUUAAGUUCUCAGUAUAUUUGGCUACCACUAUCAACUUGAAAACAUUCCACUUGAAACAUCAACAAAUAUAUAUUUUGUAGGACAAUUUAUAUAUGAUGUGAUCUUACCUAUCAUAUUAAAACAGAAACAGAAACAGAUUAAGCAUCAUGCUUUCAACCAAAAUUAUAGGUUUCCUUCUAAACAUUCUGCAGAUUCAAUAGAGGUAUAGUAUGUUAUAGUGAAGAAAGUCCUGAUCCCUAUCAAGGCUUAGCUGGAUGGCUGAUCUGCACUAGACUUAAUACAUUAUUUCACCUGCAUAUUAAACACAUAAGGCUGAAUGUGAUGUCAAAAAGAUUUGCCGUUAAUGUUUUUCUUCGAUGUAAACAUUCUUAAUUAUUUUUAUUGUUGCACCUAACUUAGUCAGUCGUUACCCAAAAUAUGAUUAUAUUUAACAGCAGAAGAUUUAAAUAGUAAAAGGUAAUGUUUCUAUUUUAAAUUUUGUUCCCACCCAUAUGCAGUAGUUAGUUCCCUGAUUGAAAAUGCUAUGAAAAUACUGAGUGCUUUUUCAUAAUUUAUUUUAUCACUGAACCACAUUUUACUACAUAAGAGUCUAAAUAUCAUUUAGGUUGGUUAUUUACUCUAAAAUGGGAAAUCAGUUAAAUCAAGGAAUUUAUAAAAUUUUUACUGUAAUUUCAGUUAUCUGUUAUACAGAGGAAGGAUGAUCAGGAAAAAUAUGACAACUUACUCUUUUGCUUUUAAAUAGCAUAGUAAAAUUGAAAAUGUAUUAUAAUAACUCACAGAUCCAGAAGAGGGGUAGUAGAAAGACAUCUUAGAAAAUGCAAUCCAUACAUUUAUAUUUUAAAAGUCUACAACUUAAUGACACUAAUAUAGUUUAUAAAUUCUGUAAUAUAGUAGGGAGAGUUGGAGGAUUAAGUUUAUCUCAUCAGUUCAGUAGUUUAAAAAAUAAAAUUAAUGGGAUGUUUUGUUGUAAUCAGAUUUUUUACCAUUUCUCAAGUUAUAAAAUAUCAAAUUAUACUAAGUACCUAACAACUCAGUUGUUAUGGCAAGUUUUCAGUUACCAAAUUAACAUCUUUUCACUAACUAGGAAUAAAAGAAUUAGAUGAUAUACUAGACCAGGAGCAGAGAAUUCAUAACAUAUGCUUUUAUAGUAAAAUGUACUAAGUAAAAUUUACAGCUCAUAUGUAGCUGCUGCCAAUAAGAAGACUCAGAAUUGUUCCUGGAUUCAUUUUAGCAUCCUGCUUUCUGUCACUUUUAUCAAUCUUCCUAGUCUCAUGUAAUGUUAAGCUAAUUUGAUGAAAUGGUUCAGGUUGUAGCAGUGUAUAAUUUGUCAGUAUGUUCAGUUCUUCUAGGUGAGCAAUAUUGCUAUUUUCUAGAAAUAGCAUUCAUUUAAAAAUGCCAAACUGCUAAAUGCUACUAAGUCUUUCUUGUAUAUUGUCUAUUCAGAGAAGGAAAUUUUUGUAUGACAGUAAUCAUCAGAGAGGUGUUUUGUAAGAUUGUUGAUGUUCAGAAGUACAUGAAAGCAUUUUAUCCUUAUAAGUUUCCUGUGAGUGUAAAACAGUGUAAUUCCUGUAAAUCUUUACUUUAUAUGUAUAAAAUACAGUCUGUUGUACUUGAGUAAUUUGGUCUAUGAAAUUUUAAAUACUUUCAUUUAGCAGUAAUAUUUAGAUUUUUAUUUUAGACAGUUAAGUUCAUGCGUUUGAUUUCUGUCAUAUCAAUAUAAAUGAAAAAAAGAAGUGGACCAUGCAGCUAAUGAGUACUUAAAAUUAAAAAACAAUGUUUUGUAAAGUUUUAACAUUUUAGCAAAUUUAACAUCAUUCCAUCUCAUUUAAAGGUUAAAAAAGAUGAGUCUUUAGCCAAAGUAGAAAUUUACAUUCCACAUGUCCAAACUGUUUCCUGGCAGCCUUUGGACUAUAUCUCAGUUGAUGUGAUAGUAUCUUUUAUUUGUAAUAAACAUUCAAAUUUCUAUCUAGAAGCUUUAAUGUACAUCUAGACUAAAUUAAAACACAGUUUUAUGCUUUUAAAAUAUAUGUAUUUCAAACUAUAUAUUUUAAUUUCUGAGUGCAUGUUAUAUAGUAUUUAAUAAUUCACGUCUUGGUAAAUCAAUAUAAAUAUUUAUUCCCACAAGUGACAUAUCUCUUAAAAAUUAUGACUAUGUACCAUUUCCUUCAAAGUCAUCCUAGCCUAUGCUGUAUCAAAAGUAUUGUAUAUUUUAUGGAGAUUUAGUGAUAUACAUGUAAAUGUUUUUUAAGUUAUUUUAUUGAAGUUCAAUCUUUACAUAAAAUUAAAACCUUUUUUUAAAAAAGUGUCAGUGCCAGAACUGUAAAUGAAAAUAAUCAAAUAAAAGUUAAGAUAAUUCAUUACUCA